rnacentral:rRNA from 1 species
AGAGUUUGAUCCUGGCUCAGAAUGAACGCUGGCGGCGUGCUUAACACAUGCAAGUCGUGCGAGGCGGAAGGGGCAACUCUUCCAGUCGAGCGGCGGACGGGUGAGUAACACGUGGGCAAUCUGCCCGAAAGUGGGGAAUACCCCAGGGAAACUUGGGCUAAUACCGCAUGACAUCGCGAUCUCGAGAGAGGAUGCGAUCAAAGGGGGGCCGCAAGGUCUCUCACUUUCGGAGGAGCCCGCGCCCGAUUAGCUAGUUGGCGGGGUAACGGCCCACCAAGGCUUCGAUCGGUAGCCGGCCUGAGAGGGUGAUCGGCCACACCGGAACUGAGACACGGUCCGGACUCCUACGGGAGGCAGCAGUGGGGAAUCUUGCGCAAUGGGCGAAAGCCUGACGCAGCAACGCCGCGUGGAGGAUGAAGGUCCUUGGAUUGUAAACUCCUGUCGGCCGGGAAGAAGUUCAUCGGGGCUCAUACCCCCGGUGAUUGACUGUACCGGCAAAGGAAGCCCCGGCUAACUCUGUGCCAGCAGCCGCGGUAAUACAGAGGGGGCAAGCGUUAUUCGGAAUUAUUGGGCGUAAAGGGCGCGUAGGCGGCCUGUCAAGUCUCUCGUGAAAUCCCUCGGCUUAACUGAGGACCUGCGGGAGAUACUGUCGGGCUGGAGUCCGGAAGAGGGUGGUGGAAUUCCCAGUGUAGCGGUGAAAUGCGUAGAUAUUGGGAGGAACACCGGUGGCGAAAGCGGCCACCUGGGCCGGAACUGACGCUGAGGCGCGAAAGCGUGGGGAGCAAACGGGAUUAGAUACCCCGGUAGUCCACGCCGUAAACGAUGGGCACUUGGUGUCGCGGGUAUCGACCCCUGCGGUGCCGAAGCUAACGCAUUAAGUGCCCCGCCUGGGGAGUACGGUCGCAAGGCUGAAACUCAAAGGAAUUGACGGGGGCCCGCACAAGCGGGUGGGAGCAUGGUGGUUCAA